rnacentral:rRNA from 1 species
AGUGAACGCUGGCGGUAGGCCUAACACAUGCAAGUCGAACGGCAGCACAGUAAGAGCUUGCUCUUCCGGGUGGCGAGUGGCGGACGGGUGAGGAAUACAUCCGAAUCUACUUUUUCGUGGGGGAUAACGUAGGGAAACUUACGCUAAUACCGCAUCCGACCUACGGGUGAAAGCAGGGGAUCUUCUGACCUUGCGCGAUUGAAUGAGCCGAUGUCGGAUUAGCUAGUUGGCGGGGUAAAGGCCCAGCAAGGCGACGAUCCGUAGCUGGUCUGAGAGGAUGAUCAGCCACACUGGAACUGAGACACGGUCCAGACUCCUACGGGAGGCAGCAGUGGGGAAUAUUGGACAAUGGGCGGAAGCCUGAUCCAGCCAUACCGCGUGGGUGAAGAAGGCCUUCGGGUUGUAAAGCCCUUUUGUUGGGAAAGAAAAGCAGCAGGUUAAUACGCCGCUGUUCUGACGGUACCCAAAGAAUAAGCACCGGCUAACUUCGUG